rnacentral:rRNA from 1 species
GACAGAGGGGGCAAGCGUUGCUCGGAAUCACUGGGCGUAAAGGGCGCGUAGGCGGGACGGCAAGUCAGUCGUGAAAUCUCUCGGCUCAACCGAGAAACGUCGGCUGAUACUGCCGUUCUUGAGGGAUGCAGAGGAGACUGGAAUUCCCGGUGUAGUGGUGAAAUGCGUAGAGAGUCGGCAGGAACACCCAGGGGGAAACCAGCCGACUGGGCAAGUGCUGACGCUGAGGUGCGAGAGCGUGGGGAGCGAACCGG